CGGCUUUCACCCGGUGGUGGAAAUCUUGCUGGGGCCUCCAAAUGUUGUAACCGAGCGAGUUAUAGAGAAACACCACACUUUUAGACUAAUUCAGGAGUUCUUUAUU
rnacentral:pre_miRNA from 10 species